UACGGAGGAGGCAAGCGCUAUCCGGAAUUAUUGGGCGUAAAGCGUCCGUAGGCGGUUGGCCAAGUCUGCUGUCAACGGGUGGGGCUUAACCUCAUAAGGGCAGUGGAAACUGGCGAGCUAGAGUGCGGUAGAGGUAGGGGGAAUUCCCAGUGUAGCGGUGAAAUGCGUAGAGAUUGUGAAGAACAUCGGUAGCAAAAGCGCCCUGGUGGGCCUGCACUGACACUGAGGGACGAAAGCUAGGGGAGCGAAAGGG
rnacentral:rRNA from 1 species